AUAAAUCCAAACAUUAUUUUAUAAAAAUGAAGUGUAUAAAGCUAAGGCCUUUUAAAUUAAAUCAGCGAAAACUCAUUUUUGUAGAGCGAGAUUGUAGGCAUAAGCUGUUGCUGUUGUUAUUGUAGCCGAAAACAUUCCUGAAGUAAUUUCAAGGAUUGGUGCCGAGUUGACAGUCCUUGGCUUAUAAAAAGGACGUCAAUUAAAAUCCUUAGAGGAAAAUUAGUGUCAGCGAAAAGGCAGGCAUAUAUUGUACAUCCAUACACACAAAUGUGUUAAAUAAAGUGGAAGAAGAAGCAGGCGAAGAAGUUGAUUCGUUAUGUUCAUUUGGUGUAGCUGUUUAACGAAAAGGAAUAAGGAAAUCGCUGAUCACAAAUAAUACACUGCUACAAAUCACGAAUGCCCGUUUAAUGAAGCAAAACAAAUUAUUAAAUAUUAUAUUGUGUGAUAUGUAUUGCAAUUUGCAACGAAAUAUAUUUAGACACAUGCAACGGCGUAAAUAAAAUCAACCAAUCGGCUUACACCGCGAAAAUAUACUACUGGAGAUGCGAUUCGAUUUAUAUUCUCGUUCAGCUGAAACGUGCUUGCUCAAAACUUUUCGAGUCACAAUGAGACCCAUUAGGGGCGUACAUAAGCGACCCUCGCAAAGAGUAAAAUAUUAUAUUAAGUACGGUCUUCCAGGACGUGAUGCAUCCGAAGUUGCCGGAACGUAUUUUUGCAAACCAAUUUUGGCAUUGGCGUUCGGUCAACAAAUAUUCUGCUGUCAAAUGCUGUUUUCGGUCUUCCAUCAUCGAUAAGGCAUCAAAUAAAAGUAAUUCCAAAAAAUUUAAGAAUAUUUUUUCCAAACAAGCUUUACAAUAUCAGCUGUUCAAGUAUUUAUAUAGCGGUAAAGCGGUUAAGGGUGCAGUUGGCUGCGAAAAAUUCAAUAAGAUCAGCUGUUGUAACCAAAGGAGAUUACUUAGUGUACAACCCAAUAAUAAAAUCUAAAAAUAGCAAAAUUAAGUAAGUA